CACAGCAUCAGUAAAAGCAGUUUGGUUUUACUAGAGAAGCAUAAAGCAGAAUCACCAGUGACAGCAAUGGUAAGUUGACCUGUUUAUCUUUGACUGCUAUCUGUGACUGCUAUAUGAUACUAAAAGAAUAGCAAAAGUAAGUCACAGGGCAAACCUUUCUAAUUUUGUCAGAUGUUCUAAUUAGGUUAUGUUCUUCAAUGCAGGCUGAAGAGGAAGUAACAUACUCCAAAGUUAGAUACCUUAAAACACUUUCAGGCAAGAUGGAUGGGGAAGUAACAGACUCCACUGUGAGAAAUGUGGGAAGAAAAACACCAAAGUAUCUUAUUUGUUUCUGUUCUCCAACAAGAUAAAUGCACAGAAGUUACAUACAGCAUCCAUCCAUCCAGUCACCACUGAAAUAUUUAA
ensembl:lncRNA